rnacentral:rRNA from 1 species
GCUCGACCUCAAAUCAGGUAGGAAUACCCGCUGAACUUAAGCAUAUCAAUAAGCGGAGGAAAAGAAACCAACAGGGAUUGCCUCAGUAGCGGCGAGUGAAGCGGCAAGAGCUCAGAUUUGAAAUCGCAGCGGCAACGCGGCGAGUUGUAGAUUGCAGGUGGGAGAGUUUGCGGGCGGCGGGCGUCGAAGUCCCUUGGAACAGGGCGCCACUGAGGGUGAGAGCCCCGUGCGAUGCCUGCCCAUGCUUUGAACUCCCCUCUGACGAGUCGAGUUGUUUGG